UACGUAGGGUGCGAGCGUUAAUCGGAAUUACUGGGCGUAAAGCGUGCGCAGGCGGUUCGUUAAGUUCGUUGUGAAAGCCCCGGGCUCAACCUGGGAACUGCAAUGGAAACUGGCGGGCUUGAGGCAGGAGAGGCUCGCGGGAAUUCCCAGUGUAGAGGUGAAAUUCGUAGAUAUUGGGAAGAACACCGGUGGCGAAGGCGGCGAGCUGGCCUGUUACUGACGCUGAGGCGCGACAGCGUGGGGAGCAACAG
rnacentral:rRNA from 1 species